GACGAACGCUGGCGGCGUGCUUAACACAUGCAAGUCGAACGGAAAGGCCCUGCUUUUGUGGGGUGCUCGAGUGGCGAACGGGUGAGUAACACGUGAGUAACCUGCCCUUGACUUUGGGAUAACUUCAGGAAACUGGGGCUAAUACCGGAUAGGAGCUCCUGCUGCAUGGUGGGGGUUGGAAAGUUUCGGCGGUUGGGGAUGGACUCACGGCUUAUCAGCUUGUUGGUGGGGUAGUGGCUUACCAAGGCUUUGACGGGUAGCCGGCCUGAGAGGGUGACCGGCCACAUUGGGACUGAGAUACGGCCCAGACUCCUACGGGAGGCAGAAGUGGGGAAUAUUGCACAAUGGGCGGAAGCCUGAUGCAGCAACGCCGCGUGCGGGAUGACGGCCUUCGGGUUGUAAACCGCUUUCGCCUGUGACGAAGCGUGAGUGACGGUAAUGGGUAAAGAAGCACCGGCUAACUACGUG
rnacentral:rRNA from 1 species